rnacentral:rRNA from 1 species
UACGGAGGGUGCAAGCGUUAUCCGGAUUCACUGGGUUUAAAGGGUGCGUAGGCGGAUCGGUAAGUCCGUGGUGAAAUCUCCGAGCUUAACUCGGAAACUGCCAUGGAUACUAUUGGUCUUGAAUGUUGUGGAGGUGAGCGGAAUAUGUCAUGUAGCGGUGAAAUGCUUAGAUAUGACAUAGAACACCUAUUGCGAAGGCAGCUCACUACGCAAAUAUUGACGCUGAGGCACGAAAGCGUGGGGAUCAAACAGG